ensembl:rRNA 5S_rRNA 5S ribosomal RNA
UCUAGCGAGUCCACCCUGAACGUGCCUGAUCUCAGAAACUAAGUAGGGUUGGGCCUGGUUAGUUCUUGCAUGGG